UACGGAGGGUGCGAGCGUUGUCCGGAAUCACUGGGCGUAAAGGGCGCGUAGGCGGCGCGGGGAGUCAACGGUGAAAGCUCGGCGCUCAACGCCGAGUCGGCCGUCGAUACUCCCCGUGCUCGAGCACUGUAGAGGCAGGUGGAAUUCCGGGCGUAGCGGUGGAAUGCGUAGAGAGUCCGGAAAGAACACCGGUGGCGAAGGCGGUCUGCUGGGCAGUUGCUGGACACUGAGGCGCGACAGCGGUGGGGAGCAAACAGGG
rnacentral:rRNA from 1 species